rnacentral:rRNA from 1 species
GAUGAACGCUAGCGGGAGGCCUAACACAUGCAAGCCGAGCGGUAGAGAUUCUUCGGAAUCUUGAGAGCGGCGUACGGUGCGGAACACGUGUGCAACCUACCUUUAUCUGGAGGAUAGCCUUUCGAAGGAAGAUUAAUACUCCAUAAUAUAUUGAUUGGCAUCAAUUGAUAUUGAAAGCUCCGGCGGAUAGAGAUGGGCACGCGCAAGAUUAGUUAGUUGGUGAGGUAACGGCUCACCAAGACGAUGAUCUUUAGGGGCCUGAGAGGUGAUCCCCACACUGGUACUGAGACACGGACCAGACUCCUACGGGAGGCAGCAGUGAGGAAUAUUGGUCAAUGGGUGCAAGCCUGAACCAGCCAUCCCGCGUGAAGGACGACUGCCCCUAUGGGUUGUAAACUUCUUUUGUAUAGGGAUAAACCUACCCUCGUGAGGGUAGCUGAAGGUACUAUACGAAUAAGCACCGGCUAACUCCGUGCCAGCAGCCGCGGUAAU